rnacentral:ncRNA from 1 species
CAAAAUUCAUUGAAGAGAACGAGUACGUUAUAAAGCUGUUCCCCAGAGAGUUGGCAUUUUGCUGAAAGCCAAUGUUCAGUGCGUAACCGAAAAUCAUCUCCGAGAAGUAGAACCGAACGAUGUAGUAAGUUCUUACCGGUCGUCCCCCGUUACAAGGAACACGUAUCAUGUUGUACGUUGCAAAGCCGCAUACAUAUAGAUAUUUCUACAUGUAUGAACUAGGGUGGUAUCGCGGGUAAAUAUAACUCGUCCCUUUU